rnacentral:rRNA from 1 species
AUCCGGGUUGCGGACAGUGUCUGGUGGGUAGUUUGACUGGGGCGGUCUCCUCCUAAAGAGUAACGGAGGAGCACGAAGGUUGGCUAAUCCUGGUCGGACAUCAGGAGGUUAGUGCAAUGGCAUAAGCCAGCUUGACUGCGAGCGUGACGGCGCGAGCAGGUGCGAAAGCAGGUCAUAGUGAUCCGGUGGUUCUGAAUGGAAGGGCCAUCGCUCAACGGAUAAAAGGUACUCCGGGGAUAACAGGCUGAUACCGCCCAAGAGUUCAUAUCGACGGCGGUGUUUGGCACCUCGAUGUCGGCUCAUCACAUCCUGGGGCUGAAGUAGGUCCCAAGGGUAUGGCUGUUCGCCAUUUAAAGUGGUACGCGAGCUGGGUUUAGAACGUCGUGAGACAGUUCGGUCCCUAUCUGCCGUGGGCGCUGGAGAACUGAGGGGGGCUGCUCCUAGUACGAGAGGACCGGAGUGGACGCAUCACUGGUGUUCGGGUUGUCAUGCCAAUGGCACUGCCCGGUAGCUAAAUGCGGAA